GCUCUAGUAGUUUAUAUAAAAUAUUAAGUUGUGGUCUUAAAGAAAAAUAAUCUUGAGCA
rnacentral:tRNA from 1 species